CCAACGGCCCUCUUUAGGGCCACAAAUAUUUUGUUUAAAUCUUGA
rnacentral:ncRNA from 16 species